CCUACGGGAGGCAGCAGUGGGGGAUAUUGCACAAUGGGGGAAACCCUGAUGCAGCGACGCCGCGUGGGUGAAGAAGCGCCUCGGCGCGUAAAGCCCUGUCAGCAGGGAAGAAAAUGACGGUACCUGAAGAAGAAGCCCCGGCUAACUACGUGCCAGCAGCCGCGGUAAUACGGAGGGGGCAAGCGUUAUCCGGAUUAACUGGGUGUAAAGGGGGCGCAGAGGGCGAUGCAAGCCAGGAGGGAAAGCCCGGGGCCCAACCCCGGGACUGCUCUUGGAACUGCGUGGCUAGAGUGCAGGAGGGGCAGGCGGAAUGCCUGGUGUAGCGGUGAAAUGCGUAGAUAUCAGGAGGAACACCGGUGGCGAAGGCGGCCUGCUGGACUGCAACUGACGUUGAGGCCCGAAAGCGUGGGGAGCAAACAGGAUUAGAUACCCUUGUAGUC
rnacentral:rRNA from 1 species